CAUGCGCAGAGCGUGAGAUAAGUCGCGGCCGCGAGUAGGGUGGGUGUAGUAGGAGUGGUGGCGCGAGCUUUGGCACUGAGGAGCGUCAUCAAUGCGCGUGGUGGGGGUGGGCUGAUGUUUGGAUUUGGUGAUCUUAAUGAGCUUUUCCAACCUGAAUGAUGCUAUGACCGAGCCGCCACGUGGUCACCAGUUUUACUUCAGGCAGAACUGUGUUGAAAGAGCGAAGGCUCAGUACCUGCCCCACUUCAGAUCUUCUACGUGACCAGCUGGAAAUUUCAUGAAUCACAGGUGAGACCUGCACAGAGAGCUUCUGCAACAGUUUCAUUUGGACAAGAGGAGCAAAAUAGUCCUUCAUCAGUACUAAAAGCUAUCUUGAAGCUCUUAUUAAACUGCCAGUGCAGAUAGUCUCCACUUCUACUAUUUUGUUACAACACUUUGAAACUAUAAUCUGCACACAGCAAGGAAUGUGAAUGCCUGUGCUACAUCAGUUGUGUAAAAUAGCAUUCAUUUCUUUUUCUAGAGAAGUACUGUUAGCAGUAUUCUAAGUAGUACAUGCUCUGCCAGUUUGAUUAAAGUGCUAUUCUCAAAUGUAAAGCCUCUUUCAGUGUUUCAGUAGGACAGACUGCUCCAGGUAUGAUUUGCAAGUCUUGAACAUGCAUCACCCUGUAUUUUCAAAGUACUCCUGAGGGAUGGUAGGUCAUGAUAAACAACACUACUUGCUGACAAAUAAAUUCAAGUCAUACUAUAAGAGAAUAUUGUUGAAUACACAGUUCUGACCGACUUAAUAUGGUUUCUGUCUGUUGGAAAUCAUGGUUAAAAAGAUACGGUCAGUUAACAUCUGAAAGUUGAAUGUUUGACUUGUGUAAAAGGAAGUGAUUAAAUAAGUCCUGUAGAAAUAUAUUUAGUUCAUACUUCAUACCUGCAACAGACAAAUUCAAUUCUCCUUCUGCUUGCAAAUACAAAAAUAAUUGUUUCUGAACGUGAAGUAGGAUAGGGUAGCCACAGAGAAGGCUGAUGCUUCAUUCCAUCUUUAACAGAAUGUGUCAUGAUUUGACUGAAGUUUACUGAAAGAAGUAGCAAGCAGAAAAGUCAGCUAGCACACAAAUAGACUUGUGCCCUUCAAACUAAUGAGCUUACCAGUGGCAUUCUCUGGAAUUGGUGCUCUUUUGGAAUUGCGAGGAACUUUUAUACCAGUUGUAUGUUGUUGUGCUUAAAGCUGUUGUAUUAACAGAAGUGUAAGAGAAAGCUUCUCUUGGCCUGCCAUGAGGACAUUAUCCAGCAGGUGGAGUUUGACAGGAUGGUGUGCACAGGCCAAGGAGACAAGGGCAAACAAGUUACUGGCACUCAGGAGCUGAAGAUUGCAUGAGCAUUGAACACCUAAUAGAUUGGCACAUAAGUGCUUGGGAAACCGAAGAGUUCCUAUUAAAAUAUAUCAGCUUUAAAACAGACAAGACCUGUAAAGAGAGACGUCUUGUACCUACUCCACAGCUGAACCAUGAGAAAACUUGAUGCCAUUGGAGAGUGUUCCUAUGGAACUGAUUUUCUGACCAGGCUGUGUCAUGGAAAGGAAAUGUAACUUGAGGAAGUACAGCUGUGGUGGAGGAACACGUGUACUGGGCCCUAAGACCUGACUCUUGUAACAAGAACUAGAACAACAAAGACAAGAGAAGGAAAUUAAGGAAAGAAGGAUGACUCACAACUUGUAUAUUGAAGAUCACAUUCAGAAAUGGUGACAAAGAAGCUAUGAACAAAUCAAGAUUGAAAAAAAAGAAAAGAAAAAACAGCAUUUAUGCCAGGAAAACUCAAUUGUUUGAGUGCUCAUGGAAAAGAAAUGCAAGAGCUGCCUUGGUAUCACUAAAGCAAGUUCACUGAAAAAUAGGACACUUUGAGAAGGACUCAGAAACAGCAUUUGGAAUGGAGAACUCAAACUGCAUUGUAGGCCGAACUAAUGCCUGAUAUUUAAGUAUAGGGGAGAUGUGGAGUUCUGAAGCUGAAAUUGAGAAGCCUGGAUCUGACAUGGAAUGUAAAGGAAUGACAAAACUGGAUGCCAAGAGGCGUUUUCAGCAGCAGUAUUGCCAGGACACUGAAGAAACGAGAGAGACAAGCAGGAAAAUGGGAAAUGUCAAAAGUCUCUACCAUGGUCUCAGGAUCAGAGAGAGGAAGGAUGUUUCAGAGAACAAUCUGAAAGGGAAAUGUGAGAUUUGGCAGCAGGUUAGCUAAGGAAGAAAUAGUCAGAAGAAAGUUUGAAAGAAGAGAAAAGCAUCUAACAAAGUUGAAAAAAUGUAUUUUUAGCUUGUUGGCUGGAAUUGAUAAGGCCCACCUUCAGUUGUACUGCUGGGACUGGAAACUGGGAGUACAGCCAGUGGUAAGAAGAGAUUUAGAUCACCUAAAGACACAUAGGACUUUCGGAAAUGUUGAGAAUAUGUGAUGUCAUUUAGAUGACAGAGACAACAGGCACAGAGCUUCCCUCAAGGCUGCAGGAGAAGGAAUUUUGUCUUUUAUCAGCUUAUUCAAUGAGAUGGAGUUGUGGAAAGAGGAGCUGCUACAUUAAAGAUUCUGUGAAGAUGAGAUUUGGAUUCUGUCAGUGUCUCCUUGGUCAUUUUGAUAAAGCUAGUUUCAGUGAAGGAAAGGGAAAGGUAUGCUGUCCAUUCAAAGGGACUAGAAUUAGUAGAGCAACAGGCAUAACUACUACACAAACCUCUGAAAUCAAAGUUUGGAGAGAGGUUCACCGGAACAGGUUUGGUAGCAAAGAUGAGAGGUGGAAAGUGAAGGAAGAGUCAGCUUGGGGAGUACUGUAGGCUGACUCUACUGUAAGAUAAAUUCACAGAAAGCCCAGUAUGUCUAGGCAGUAUGAAUGAGCUUGUAUUUUAAUGCCCAAGAGGUGAGGGGCAAAAUAAAUUUCCUUUGGUUGAGAAGACAAAAAGUGGCUUCUUUCAUCCACCUGAGAAGGAGUAGGGCUGCAGGCACUGUAGACAAGAAGUCAGAUGCUGUGGCAUGCCAACUGCCAAGACACCUAGCAAGUCUGUCUUUCCUUGUCCUCCUGUGUUGUUUUUUUAUCACCCUGCUGGUCUGCAAGGUUAUAUGCUGCUUCUUUUUUUCCCCCAUCCUGAUUACUGCUUGCUUUGCUAAUAAGGGAAUACAGAUGAGGAAAUAUGUCAUACAAAUUGUUAGACAAAGAUAAGGAUGGCUACAGGGAUAGCGCCAACUGAGAAGGCAGCAACAGUGAAAUUGACUGUUUUUAGUAAUCGCAUGAGAAGAAAUACAUGCUUCUGUUUCCAGAGUAAACAUUUUACUGUCUAGAUGGAAAAGUCCAGCAGCCAAAGUUGUUAUUACAAGUUGAUUUAAAGACACAGGUGAGGAAGUACUUGAAGAUAUUUGUUUGCUUCAUGUUGGCUUUAUAAGACGUGGCUUACUGGUUUCUGAAGGCUUGAAAAUGUCUUGCAGUUUUUCAUGUUGACUGGUAAAUCCUUUUGUGCCUAGAGUGCCAUCCCCUCAUAGAGUCACUGUUCAUAAUACUGAACUAUGACUGUAUAUGAGAAGGAUGGUUGUACAAUCAGAGGAUCUGAAAAACUGCUAUGUCUGUUGUUCUUAAUACUCUUAAGGCUUUAUAAUGCACUGUAUUUUCUGAACUGAUGCAAGAACAAGCCUUUGAUGAUAGAAAAACUGCAGUUUAUAGUACAGAAGGAAGUGUGAAUUGAUUUUGCCAAUUUGGGAAAUGAAAUAGGCAGUACAGAAGUUCUUAGACCCACUUUCCCAGUUGAAAAGCACUUAGGUAAAACUGGACAAAAAGCCAGAGGAGAACUAAGUGAAAUUUCACACUCAGUGAGAUGCCUCACGUCUGAGCAACCAGCCAGACCUUAGUGUUUUAAUAUCCCUAAUCUAUUCUGUGCUUUAAUGAGAUCUUGAGCUAUUGGCUCUGAAGAUUAUUAGUGCCCUGGUGAAUAGCCAUUCAAUCUUCAGGCAUGUGAUGAGAAUUUGCUUCCUCUUUCAAUCCUUCAGCUUCUUGGCUAGAAUUUAUUAUUUCCCUAAAUAAAAGCAGCUGCAAAAUUUCAUUAGGUGUUAUAGUACCCCUUUCUGCUGUAUUUAACCUUGUCUCAUUAAAUAGAUUACAUCCUUGCCUCUUGUAAUUAAGUGCAAAUCAAACACAAUAUUUUAAUAUUAUAUUAAAAACGUAAGAAAUAGGACGCCUUUUCAGCUGCCAUUCUGAAAUUCCUGAAGGCAGGAGUGCUACUUUGACAGUGACAAAUUCUUCCAGAAACAUCUGGUCUAUAAAGUACAUUUUCUCCUUAUAGAUCUGAUAGUAAAAUCAUAAAUACCAAAGACAAAGUGUUCUGUUCUGUCACACUUGAAUUCCAUUUAAAGAGAGUUCUUUAUCUAUUUCAUCUGUUCAGUAUCUGAGUGAUUUAACUACCUGCAAAGGCUUCUGUUGAGUAUGGGUUUUCUGGACACCAGCAAUCUUAAAUAUUAGAAGAGCCCAGGCUGUAGAGAAAAAAAAAAAAACAUGAAUCUAAUAAUGGGUUGUGUAUUAAUUCAGCAAGCCUUUGGUUUUAUUUAAUAAGCAAAGAAAAAUUAUACUUCCACAAUCUACUGAGAGUCCAGUCAAACUAUGUGAUAAAUACUGACAAGAAAAAAUUAUCUUGCAUGUUCUAAAGUUGGGUCAAGACAAGCACUAUGAACCCACACCUUCCUUAUGUGAACUUGCUAAGUCCCACGUCUAAAUUUCAUCCAUUUAACAUUUGUCACAUGACUGGGGUCCUUCAGUUAAGUUCUUUGCAGAAAUAAAAGAGGAAUUGUCUGUUUGAGGGCUUUGAUGUUGCAUCUCUCUUGAAAGCACCUUUCUCCCUGUGCUGACUGUAAGGUUGUGCAGGGCAGCAAUGCUGAUCUGAAGUUGGAGAUGUAAGUUCAGUGGUAUUCUUUGUGCUCAAUGUAACCAAAAUGCACUGUGUGUCUCCAUCCUAUACCUUUGGAGUUAAGCAUUAGGUAAAUAUAGAGCAUUUCCCCAAGUUUGUUUCAGGUAUGAACUAUGUGUAUGCUAUUAGCUAUCUCUGUAUCCAGGAGAGAUUUAUGUUGAUAAUAUUAUCAUUAACUCUAAUUUGAUUUCAAACUGAGUCACUGAUUACAUGGUUUCUAAGUCUCAGAUUCUGCUUCCUUGGGGAAGCAGAGGUGAGAAAGUUUGCAUGCUAUUGCAUAUAUAAUUAAAAACCACUUCCCAUUAUGCAUAUAUGCUGUCCCUGCCCUGCUAUACUGUCCUUUGCUCCUUUGCACCUUUUCCAUCCUAGCUGGUAGUGAUGCAGCAGCAGUCAGUCCGUUCUGUUACGUGUGCCUGAGUCGGGCUGCAGCCUUUUCUUAACAAGAGCCAAGGGCAGGUAUCAUGCUGCUCUGAUUUACCUGCAUGGCUGCGUUAGACCCAGUCAUUUCAAAGUUCUUAAUGAUGGCAAUUUAUCAAACAAGCCUUAAAAUAAUAGGCACCGUUUCCAAAAUGCCAUGGCAUUAGCAACCCACUCUUUAUGGAGUGGCAUAAUGUUUUCUUAAAAAAUAUGUAAUGAACAAAUAAAUAACAACAACAACAAAAAACCUCAAAAAGAAAUAAGAAAAACACCUCCCCCACCCCAUGUUUGGAACAAGCUCGAUACGUGGUAUGUUUUCACAUUGUUUAGUACAGUCUGAAAAUUGCCUAAGUGCACAAAAUGGGUCACCCUGAUUAUGUUUUGAGGCUGUGAAUUCUUGCAAGAAGUUGUUAAUGCACGAGCAGUCCUGCUCAGCAGAGUACGUUACAGCAGGAGCACGGCUACAGCUUACUGUGGGAGGUGGGAAGUGGCUCAGUUUGAGAUCGGAUGAGAACAGCCAACUAUUUCACCUGAAAAGAUCUCUCUCUAGAGGAAGGUCAGGCUAAUUCUGCUAGAAUUGUGCAAACCAGUAAUUUGAAGUGCUCCUUGCAGUGAAUCGAUGGAUGUGCAUUACUUUGUUGAAGUGUGCAUUAAUGUUUGACAGUGUGCCCUUCAAACCAACAAGGAAAAAUGGAGGACGCACAGAAAGCUUGGCUACAACCUACAGAGCUACUGGAGUCAGAAACAAAGCACUGACUGCCAAAACAGAUUGUUGAUGAAGAUGUUCAAGAAGAUCAGAUCCAGCGCUGACGCCUGGGGAAUGUCACUAGUUACAGGUCUCCAACAAGGCUCUGAGCCUCUGAUCACAACCCUCUGAGUUCUGCCUGUUCUCAAUCCACACUUCCUAAGCUUACCUAUGAGGAUGUUAUGGGAGACAAUGUCAAAAGCCUUGCUGAAACCAAGGACGGAUAUUGCAGUCUCAUUAUAAGCAGGCUUCUGCUUCUCCUUAAGAGAAAUAAAGACCUAAUAACACUGUUUCUCAAAGACUAAAACUAGGCAACAGCCCCACAUUUUCCCCAGAACUCUUUUUGCUGCUGAUGGACAGGUUGAAGCUCAUUGUCUUGUACUUCACAUCCACGGAUUCAACUCCAGAUGGGCCUCCGUUUAAAUGUAACAGGAAUGCGUAAUACUUUUGGAGGAGACAAAAUAUCAUCAUCACUCAGCUGGGGCUUCUGUGACAAGACCCGGAACCAAAGAGUUUGUCUCAAAAAGCUAUUUCUACCCCAUUUUGUACAACUAGAGCAACGCGAAGGGACCGAAGUUUUGCCUAGAGUUGAGUCUAAGGCAUGGACUACUAAUUUUCCUCUUCUUUUGGUGUCUAAAUAGCUGGCUUUCCUUGUUUGAAGGUACAUUUUGUUAUUAAAGCCUGAGAAGUUCUACCUGUUUCAGAUGCUCUGCAUUCACUGGUUACCUAUGUGUGGCUGCAUGGCUCCCAGGCGGAUGGACAGAAGAUGAGCGAUGUUUGUGGCACAGCUAACUGCUGGUAAGUCCUUGGCCAUGGGAGGGGCCAGGUUUCUGUGGGGCAGUGCCUAUGGAGCUGGGGACAAAUGCCAGCCAGGCAUCCUAUGGGUGUUCCACUCCAUCUUGAGCAUAUGACGCUGUGGCUAGAGUUCGUUACUGUCAGGUGCAUACUUGACGUUUGCUUUUUCUGGUGACAAGUUGCUUGAGAAAGCGUGGCUCUUGACAUCUGUAGUGAUCAAAGUUGGGAAGCCAAACUGGGAACAUGGGUUGCUGCACUCAAAGUGUAUGGGCCUAUUUCUAUGGACUUUUUUCCACUUGGAAGUAUCUCUGUGGAAGUUGCACCCUGGAGAUGUUUCAGUUCCCUCCCACCACACUGGCAAGCUCUGCAAACAUUCGUACAGGCAAAUACAAACCUCACUGCUUGCCAAAGGAUGCCCACCUCUGGGAAACCCAUGAUUCAUUCACUGCCUGACCCUUACUUUGUGCUCCACUACACCAACGUGAGUGAGGCCUGUUCCUCCCCACCCAGCUUGGCUCAUCUCAUUAACAUUAACUCAGGGGACAAUUAAACCGUGUUGAGGUCCUGCUGGCCUCCACAGGCAUUGCUUUGGGUAGGUUGUGAUACCACCACAGCCUGCCUUCAGCCUCCUGACAGCCUACUGAAGCAGGCCCUUACUGCCCAUCUCCAAAGGUCCCUCCAUGCAGUGACUGCAUGAAGCACUGCCCUCCAAGAACUGAGUGGAUGCAGUCAGACUGUUAGUAAACAUCAACAGCAACAAAGUGUUUAAGAUAACUUUACAAAUUUAUCAGCAGAGAGAUCAUAUCCACGUUGAUAACAACAAUGUGACACAGUUUGUGAUUGAGAUGGAGGGACUAAACCUCUGUCCUGACAAAUUACACCGUGAGAUGCAUUACCUUGUUUCGAAGCAUUAUUUCUCUGUGGUUUCCAAAAAAACCACGUUUGCUAUUUCUAAAAAUAAACAAGCUACCAGUAAGGGUACAUUUUGUUCUAAAACUAUUUUGUUUCUACUCAAACAACAGAAUGUAUUUCGGAGACAAAUUUUCUUAAUUUGCUAACUAAUAACGUAAUUCUUUUUCUUUAGAGAUAAUUCUAACACCUUAAUAACCCUGUAGGGUACUUAUUAAAGUAUAAGAGAUUAAAUUCAAAUGAGCACGGUACAGACCUCUUCUUAAAAUCACCUCCAGGAAGGCAUCACUGUAGGAGAAAAAGACUAAAUUCAUUUUCCAGCCCAUAACAAAAGGCAGAAUUUAGUGCAUAGCUGUAAGCACCUCCAUGAAUAACCAUAAAUUAAGUAGUGUUUCUCCAGCCAGCCAUCAGUGCCCAAUACUGUUACACAUAAGUUGGUGGAAAGUCUGCCUUUUCAACAAGUGGGUGACUGGGAGUCUUGGCCAUAUACCAGCUCCAGUACUUCUUGCACACGAGUGCUGUGGACUUAGGAUACAGGAUAGUAGGUAGGACCUUGGUCAAGAUGGUGUAGGUGAUCCAUGGAACAGGAUAAACAGAGUGAAGAC
ensembl:lncRNA